rnacentral:rRNA from 1 species
UAGCGGAGGGUGCAAGCGUUAUCCGGAUUCACUGGGUUUAAAGGGUGCGUAGGAGGGCAGGUAAGUCAGUGGUGAAAUCUCCGAGCCUUAACUUGGAACUGCCGUUGAUACUAUCUGCCUUGAAUAUUGUGGAGGUGAGCGGAAUAUGUCAUGUAGCGGUGAAAUGCUUAGAUAUGACAUAGAACACCAAUUGCGAAGGCAGCUCUCUGGGACGGUACUGACGCUGAGACGCGAAAGCGUGGGGAGCGAACAGG